CUGGCCCAGGGAGGUCGGCAACGACCACCCAGGGCCGGAAAGUCGGUCAAACUCGGUCAUUUAGAGGAAGUAAAAGUCGUAACAAGGUCUCCGUAGGUGAACCUGCGGAGGGAUCAUUA
rnacentral:rRNA from 1 species